rnacentral:rRNA from 1 species
UACGUAGGGUGCGAGCGUUGUCCGGAAUUAUUGGGCGUAAAGGGCUCGUAGGCGGUUUGUCGCGUCGGGAGUGGAAACCAGGUGCUUAACACCUGGCUUGCUUUCGAUACGGGCAGACUAGAGGUAUUCAGGGGAGAACGGAAUUCCUGGUGUAGCGGUGAAAUGCGCAGAUAUCAGGAGGAACACCGGUGGCGAAGGCGGUUCUCUGGGCAUGACCUGACGCUGAGGAGCGAAAGUGUGGGGAGCGAACAGG